rnacentral:rRNA from 1 species
GACGAACGCUGGCGGCGUGCUUAACACAUGCAAGUCGAACGAAGUGGCGAACGGGUGAGUAACGCGUAAUCACCCUGCCCUUCAGAGGGGGACAACAGUUGGAAACGACUGCUAAUACCGCAUACUGAAGGUGGGGAUUGCGUCGGAUUAGCUAGUUGGAGGGGUAAUGGCCCACCAAGGCGAUGAUCAGUAGCCGGGCUGAGCGGGUGAACGGCCGCAAUUGGACUGAGAGACGGCGCAGAAUGCGCCAGGAGGCAGCAGGGGGGAAUCUUCCGCAAUGGACGAAAGUCUGACGGAGCAACGCGGCGUGAGUGAUGACGGGCUUCGGGUUGUAAAGCGCUGUUAAUCGGGACGCGGUACCGGAAGAGAAAGCCACGGCUAACUACGUGCCAGCAGCCGCGGUAAUUC